UUUAUAUUUGCUUACAUACUUCCUUUGCUUACCGUGAAAGAAAGAUUUAAAUAACUUUCUAAUUCUUCAAAAAGAUUUUAAAAGUGCAUGUUUUUAUUAAACACCAAUUCAACCCUCCCCUCCCCCCUCUUGGUGUGAAGAAACAAGCCUUAUUAUUUCUAAGAACCUUACUCUGCACAUUUUAUUCCCUCACUCUAUUCACUUAUUCAUUUUCCAAACUUCCAAAAGAUAAUACCCUCCUAAAUCCUCUCCUUUCUUCACUCAACUCACGGUCUACCUACCAUUCUUCUUCAUCCUGCCACCACAGGUUUAGCUACAUGCGCUUAUUAAUCCCUUCUCCUCGUGGAUAACCAAAACUCUUUACACUUUCACAUCCCAACUAACAAAGCCAAACACCCCAACUUCCCUUUACUACAUGAGAGCAAGCCCCCAACAGACUCUGUUUUCAUAGUGUAGGUUUCGAAAUUCCAAGGAACUACAACAGGAAAUGAAGAAGAGACCUUAAGAUCCCAAACGAAGCACACAAACAUAUAUAUUUUACCUCUACACUAUCCAAUAUCAAAAUAGAGAGAGUAGCAAUAAAAUUGUUAAGACUCCGGCAAGUGUACUGAAUCAUAUCAAGUAAUAUAAAUGUUAACACUCUCACAAGUGUACCAGAUCGUAACAAGUAAUAAUAGACAGUAAGUCCGAAUAUCGUUUCCCAAGGGAUUUUUAGGCCUAAUCGUUUAUGUGAAUUGAUUUCUUAAG
rnacentral:lncRNA from 1 species